GGGCCGAUAGCUCAGCCGGUUAGAGCAUCUGACUCAUAAUCAUAGGGUCCGGGGUUCGAGGCGCUGACGGCCCA
rnacentral:tRNA from 1 species